AGCGGCGCCAUGGAUGGCCGCCGUCUGCGUAUCCCUUCUCGGGUUCUUUGGUCAGAGAACAGGUAUUGGGGAUCAGGUAUCGGAACGCUGUUCUGGUCCCUGAUGGCUGAUCCCUGUGCUCUGGGCUAGUAGCUCAGUUGGUUAGAGCGCGCGCUUGAUAAGCGUGAGGUCGGAGGUUCAAAUCCUCCCUGGCCCACCACGGUUCUGGUGGACAGACCGUCGGCCAUUCGGCCUCCGGCGUCGCGCUUCGAAGCGUCCACUGGACGCUUCGACCGGCCGCGACGCGGCCGACCGCGCAACGGGGGCGUAGCUCAGUUGGGAGAGCGCUAGCUUUGCAAGCUUGAGGUCGUCGGUUCGAUCCCGUCCGCCUCCACCAACGGCCACCGGUAAAAGGUCCGGUGGACCUUUUACCGGUGGCCGUCACUGAGCGCUUGGUGAGCGCGACGGCGAACAGCCGGCGUGUGAGCCUAGCAGCGAAGUGGGCGCCAGACACAGAACCCGAGUAAGACAGAAGAGAUUGCGGCGGCUGCCUUAAGGCAGUGUGCUGCAUGGGUAUUGACAUUGUGAAGAGGAAGGGUGACCGGAGCGGUUCGGUCGGGAGUU
rnacentral:tRNA from 1 species